AAAAAUCCCCAAUCUCAAAAAUCCCUAACCUUUUGAACCAAAAUCCCUAUCUCUCUCUCUCUCUCUCUCUCUCUCUCUCUCUCUCGACUGUAAGCAGGUAAACGGCGGCGAGCCUCGAACUGACGGCAUCGAGCGACGGCAACGAGCAGCGUGAGACGGCAUAUAGCAGCGUGCAACGGCGACGAGCAGUGUACGACGAUGGCGGCGAGCAAGCAACGACGGUCAAGCAAUUUUUUCGUCUUCAUCUUCACGUCUCAGUCAGUCUCCAUAUCUGAACCAGGCACUGACAGCUUCACCUGAACUUUGAACGAUCUACCAAUUCAUCAAAAUUUCAGUUCCUUCGCUAACCUCAUUCUCUCUUUCUACCACUAAAUUUUGUCUGGGGGAUCAAAGUGACUUGCAUGCUAUCAUAUUUGAUGGAAUUGAUUCAAUCUGUAAGGUAGGAGCUCUCAAAAUUUUAGUUGAAAGUUUCUCACAGGUUUUUGAAAUUAUGGGUUGGUAGAACAAUUAGCUGCUAUUACUUGCCAUGGGUUUGCUAAAUAUAAGUUUUGGUGGUUAUAUGAUCAAUGUUGUCCGGAGAACUUCACACUUUUGAGAGCUUAUCUGACAAGUCUUAUUUAACAUUCACACUUCUGAGGACUUGCAUUUACCGACAACUAAUUGUUAAUUUCAUUGCUCAAUCUGCAAAUUAGGUCCCAACUUCUAUUUUUAUUUAGUUGAUGUUAGUAAAUAUUUUUCAUGAUAGGUCAAGUUUAUGAAGUCCAAAAAGGCCUUUUUAUUUGGAGUCAAGUUUGUUAAGAUACUUGUACUUUGAUGCUAAUAAUUGAUUAGUAUUUUUAAUAACUGUCUUUUAUUACUAGAUUUAUUUACGUUUUCAGUGUUGUAAUGAACCAUGUAAUUGUUAGCCAUUCUGCAAUCUCUUUUGGUGUUAUGUUAUCCUAUAAAUUAAGAUAAUUUGUUAUUGUUAUUAACGGUCCCUUAUCAACAGUUUAAUUAUUUGGUUAUGCAAUUUAUGCUUUGGCUUGCUCUUGUAGUCAAGAGGUUCAACUAGAGAUGGUAUUGGAGUUUGUGAUAGCAUUGUCAACCAGCUCCUAACAAUAGUUGGUUUAACUGUAUUUCAAUUUCUCUGUAAUAUUAAUAGGAAAAUGUCACGGUAGUAAAGCUACACCAGGCUAACCAAUUUCAUUAACUGAUUGAAAAUUACUUAUUGUUUAGAUAGAUGGUGUUGAGUCACUGAACAAUGUUUUGCUGAUUAGGAUGACCAACAUGAAGGAUUUGCUUGAUGAAGCACUUUUGAGGUGACUUCUACAGUGUAUAUCUCUUCUCUA